AAGUCGUAACAAGGUCUCCGUAGGUGAACCUGCGGAGGGAUCAUUACAGAGAACAUCGCCCGCGAGGGUGACUCUCCAACCCUAUGUUAAUUAUACCUUUGUUGCUUUGGCGAGCCGCUCAGCCACCGGCUCCACGCUGGUGUGUGCUUGCCAGAGGACCCCAAACUCUGUUUAUACGUGUCGUCUGAGUACUAUGUAAUAGUUAAAACUUUCAACAACGGAUCUCUUGGUUCUG
rnacentral:misc_RNA from 2 species